CCAAAUUUUGGGGUGCCUUGUCAGGGCAAUCACUGGAAGUGUCUCACAUGCAACAAUUUUAAAAUGCUUCUUACAUGAGUCACUGAGAGAUGACUGCCAUUGGCAAUAUGUGUACAUUAGUCAAGUUGCAAAGAAAAUACUAGCUUAAUUUAUUCAGUUGGUUGGUUUCUGUAAUUCCUGAAUACAUUGAGCUAUAAUAUCAUAGGAAAAUGGUACCUCAUUAUGUUUCCCAGGCUGCUCUCAAACUCCUGCGUUCAGGUGAUCCUCCCGCUUCUGCCUCCCAAAGUGCUAGGAUCACAGGAGUGAGCCACCGCACCCAGCAAAAGGAUUAUUUUGGUAUUGAACUUUUCACGCUUUCUAUGUAAAUCCUGCUUAAGUUUUGAUGGUUUCAAAGCAUAAUUAUACUCGGGAGAUUGAGGCAGGAGAAUCACUUGAACCAGGGAGUCGGAGGUUGCAGUUAGCCAAGAUUGUGCCACUGCACUCCAGCCUGGACGAGAGUGAGAUUUCAUCUCAAAAAAAAAAAAAAAGC
rnacentral:lncRNA from 1 species